rnacentral:snRNA from 1 species
GUGCUUGAUUCAGCAGCACCUUUACCAAAAUUGGAACAAUGGAGAGAAGAUUAGCAUGGCCCUUGCGCAAGGGUGACAUGCAAAUUUGUGAAGUGUUCCCUAUUUUU